GGCGCGCGCAGUGCGCGCAGGCGCAUGCGGUCUCGUCUUUCGGUAAUAGUAAACGGCGUAUAUAAUCGCCGUUCGAACGUUGUUGAUCUCAAUCGGACUCUCGAGACUUUCUCACGGCGGGGAAUGCGUGCGGCUGCUAUCGCGCGAUUAACCUCAACGAUCCUCUGGGAAACGCGAUUCCGUAUCGUCCUGAAGGAUCCUCGUCGAGAGUUUAGAUUAUAUUCUAACAAGUUGACUAUUCUAAAUUCACGGCUGCGAUAUCGAACGGCUUGAAUUACGAACUUAUGUUUACAAACUACUUAGGCUGUGCGCAACAUGGAGAACAGGGAUAAAUAUUAAAAUUUGGAUGUAAAAAUUAAGAAUAAAGAUGAAACGUAACGCACAAUGGGCAUAAGCUAUAUUUUAUAUUUGUUUAUGUUCAUUAUAUCUUAUGUUUAAUCUCUAUUCCUAAUUUUUAUUUUCAAAAUUUAAUCUUUAUUUUUGUUAUAAUUCCUGUGCCUGUUUCUUCAUUGUAUGCAGAAUCUGAAAUCCGGUUGUAUCAAUGAUAUUUUAUUUUUAAGCGAGACUUAAAUCUUUAAAUUUGUUGUAUCAAAGUAAAAGCGAAAUCUAAAAAGUGCUUUAAUUUGCACUAAUUUUAAUAAGAUAAGCGCAAAUGAAAGCACUUUAGCUAUCGCUUUUGUUUUGAUAUAACAAAUUUAAAGUUUUAAGUCUCGCCUAAAGUCAAUAUAGCGUUGAUGCAACCUUGGGCCUUAAACCGCAAAUUUGACAAAAAUUCUAUUCAUUCAAUAAGAACAUUUCGAAAUUGGCGAGAGUAUUUAGAGAUGAAUUACUACGUGGGAUGAAAAAUAAAAGUUUCGAGAUUUCAUCUUUUCGCUCCACCUGGCGAGCGGCUCUACGCUUUUCGCAACACAUCUCCUUCCUCUCGAUAUCCUGUAGGGACUUGUCGCCGCACCGAAAGAUGGCGGCACGGUUUGCCCGGCGCGUCACAUCUGCGCUCGAUAGCGCGGUCUAGGUAUUUCAUAUAUAGGAGUUCGUGGCCGCGGAUACCCCAUGGUGGAACGUGGAUGCUGUGCGCGGUGGUUCGCGUCCCGUAGACGCGCGAAUACGCACGACGACGACAAUACGCGGACGGCCGUGCCCGUCGACGACGUCGACGACGUGCGUCUGUGCCCGCGACGUACGAGCAGCAGUCAUCGCGUUAUUCUUCGUUGUUAACGUUACCGCGAGUGACAGCCGAGACGAUGCGACCCGCUAACAGUGGUCCGCGUUGCGCCGUGCGCGUCGACGAUCGCAACGCGCGACCAGCCAGUCCCGUGGAAUGGUCGACCACGACGAGUUGGUAAACAAAUCUCGAGUGGUGAUGGACCCGCGAAGAGGGAAGGUUGCGUGAGAGAAAGAGAGAGAGACUUAACUUUGUCGCCGAGAGAAGUGACGCCAGCGGUGGAGAUUGAAUAAGAAACGCGCAGUGUUUCGCGGCGACAGUGGAAAUUCAAACGACGAUCGGCAAGACAUCGGUAAAUAGGACAGGAA